rnacentral:lncRNA from 1 species
GUUAGAUACAGGAGUUGGAGAGAGUCGUCACGAAGUCCUUGUCGACUAGACCAGCACAAAACUUUGAGGUGUUCUUUCCCUGGCAGAUGCUCUUAGCCUUGCUGGUGAAGAGAAGGACAGAGAUCCCAAGUUGAGGGGGCACAAGUGGAUCCACCCUCUGAUCCCAGCCAGGCUCCUCCCUCAUCUGGAGGACUUGAAGGUGAUGCUGCAGCUCUCCUGGGUUGUUUUCCUGGAUGGCCGGCUCCUGCUUCACGUAUUUAAGCAUUUCUUCCCUUGUUUCCAUGAACUGUUCAUUGGAAGAUUGGUGUUCUUGGUGGAGGGCUGUACAGACCUUCAUACAAGAGCAAGCAGGUACAGAGCAUCCCAAGAGCCUGCUACUCG